UACGGAGGGUGCAGGCGUUGUCCGGAUUUAUUGGGUUUAAAGGGUGCGUAGGCGGCCUAAUAAGUCAGUGGUGAAAGCCUCCAGCUUAACUGGAGAACUGCCAUUGAUACUGUUAGGCUUGAGUAUACUUGAGGUAGGCGGAAUUGACAGUGUAGCGGUGAAAUACAUAGAGAUGUCAUAGAACACCGAUUGCGAAGGCAGCUGACGAAACUAUAACUGACACUGAGGCUCGAAAGUGUGGGGAUCAAACAGG
rnacentral:rRNA from 1 species